rnacentral:rRNA from 1 species
UACGUAGGGGGCAAGCGUUGUCCGGAAUUAUUGGGCGUAAAGCGCGCGCAGGCGGCUUUUUAAGUCAGGUGUUUAAUCCUAGGGCUCAACCCUAGUUCGCACCUGAAACUGGGAAGCUUGAGUGCAGUAGAGGAGAGCGGAAUUCCACGUGUAGCGGUGAAAUGCGUAGAGAUGUGGAGGAACACCAGUGGCGAAGGCGGCUCUCUGGCCUGUAACUGACGCUGAGGCGCGAAAGCGUGGGGAGCAAACAGG